GACGAAGGAUGCAAGCGUUAUCCGGAUUCAUUGGGUUUAAAGGGAGCGUAGGUGGCCUUGUAAGUCAGUGGUGAAAUCCUGUCGCUUAACGAUAGAAUUGCCAUUGAUACUGCAGGGCUUGAGUACAGUUGCCGUUGGCGGAAUAUGACAUGUAGUGGUGAAAUACAUAGAUAUGUCAUAGAACACCGAUUGCGAAGGCAGCUGACGAAACUGUAACUGACACUGAGGCUCGAAAGUGUGGGGAUCAAGCAGG
rnacentral:rRNA from 1 species